rnacentral:rRNA from 1 species
UACGUAGGGUGCAAGCGUUGUCCGGAAUUAUUGGGCGUAAAGAGCUCGUAGGCGGUCAGUCGCGUCUGCUGUGAAAACUCGGGGCUUAACUCCGGGCCUGCAGUGGGUACGGGCUGACUAGAGUGCGGUAGGGGAGAUUGGAAUUCCUGGUGUAGCGGUGGAAUGCGCAGAUAUCAGGAGGAACACCGAUGGCGAAGGCAGAUCUCUGGGCCGUAACUGACGCUGAGGAGCGAAAGCGUGGGGAGCGAACAGG